CCUACGGGAUGCAGCAGUAGGGAAUCUUCGGCAAUGGACGAAAGUCUGACCGAGCAACGCCGCGUGAGUGAAGAAGGUUUUCGGAUCGUAAAACUCUGUUGUUAGAGAAGAACAAGGACGUUAGUAACUGAACGUCCCCUGACGGUAUCUAACCAGAAAGCCACGGCUAACUACGUGCCAGCAGCCGCGGUAAUACGUAGGCGGCAAGCGUUGUCCGGAUUUAUUGGGCGUAAAGCGAGCGCAGGCGGUUUCUUAAGUCUGAUGUGAAAGCCCCCGGCUCAACCGGGGAGGGUCAUUGGAAACUGGGAGUCUUGAGUACAGAAGAGGAGAGUGGAGUUCCAUGUGUAGCGGUGAAAUGCGUAGAUAUAUGGAGGAACACCAGUGGCGAAGGCGGCUCUCUGGUCUGUAACUGACGUUGAGGCUCGAAAGCGUGGGGAGCAAACAGGAUUAGAUACCCUUGUAGUC
rnacentral:rRNA from 1 species